CGACGGUCCAAGCUGGAGGCGAUCAGCAGGACAGCAACGGUCCAAGGUGGAAACGUUCAGCGGGACAGCAAUGGUCCAAGGUGGAGGCGAUCAGCGGGACAGCAACGGUCCAAGGUAGAGGCGGUCAGCGGGACAGCAACGGUCCAAGGUGGAGACGGUCAGCGGGACAGCAAUGGUCCAAGGUGGAGUCGAUCAGCGGGACAGCAACGGUCCAAGGUAGAGGCGGUCAGCGGGACAGCAACGGUCCAAGUAGAGGUAAUAGGAUCACCGGAACAGCCGAUAACGAUUCGAUUCAAU